rnacentral:rRNA from 1 species
UACGUAGGGGGCUAGCGUUGUCCGGAAUCAUUGGGCGUAAAGCGCGUGUAGGCGGUCCGGUAAGUCCGCUGUGAAAGUCGAGGGCUCAACCCUCGAAUGCCGGUGGAUACUGUCGGGCUAGAGUACGGAAGAGGCGAGUGGAAUUCCUGGUGUAGCGGUGAAAUGCGCAGAUAUCAGGAGGAACACCAAUUGCGAAGGCAGCUCGCUGGGACGUUACUGAGCUGAGACGCGAAAGCGUGGGGGAGCAAACAGG